rnacentral:rRNA from 1 species
UACAGAGGUCCCAAGCGUUGUUCGGAUUCACUGGGCGUAAAGGGUGCGUAGGCGGUCGGGUAAGUCUGACGUGAAAUCUUCAAGCUUAACUUGGAAACUGCGUCGGAUACUAUUCGGCUGGAGGAAUGGAGGGGAGACUGGAAUACUUGGUGUAGCAGUGAAAUGCGUAGAUAUUCGGAAGAACACCAGUGGCGAAGGCGACUUACUGGACGACUGUUGACGCUGAGGUGCGAAAGCGUGGGGAGCAAACAGG